UUUCUUUUUAGCCCCCUUUUCUUUCUGCCCUUUAGCUGUAUAACUAUUUUAUCAUGUAAAUCUAUAAUUUAAGGAACUUUUGUUAAUUUUAUGUAUUUUAUGGAAGGGAACCCAGUAGAUUUUUAAGGAAAAUUUUAGAACAGUUGGUAUGCAAACAAGGUUAGGUUAAACAAAUUAAGUAUGAUGUUUUUUCCUAUAUAUUGUAUUUUCAUAUUUUUAAGCUUGAAGUAGUUGAACUGUUUAGAAGCAGGCAAACUUUAAAACCUGUAGAAAAAACUACCAUAUAUAUUAAGGAGUUCCAAGAAAUGAUAAAUCUGUCCAACAACAUUCAAAAUUAAAUCAAAUGGAUCAAUAUACUAAAUGAUUAAUCUGUCAAACAAUAGCUUUUGAAUUCUUUAAAGAUACUUCAUUUAUCUUUUUGAUGUAUUGCUGUGAUAUAGAUAAGAAAAAAGUAUGAAAAAUACGAUUGCAGUACUCAGCAAAAAGUACAUUGUGACUAUAGUAUAAUAAUGGAUAUUAUAGUUAUUUUGUGUUUUCUGAAUAGCAGAUAUGAAGCAAUACUAUAAGCCUACCACAGAUUUGCAAGGAUAUAUCCUAAAAGAUAGCAGAUAAUUUAUAUAGCUUUCUCUAGCUUCUUUUUAGUCCCUGAGAACCAUUGGGUUAUUGAUCCUUUUAAUUGCAGUCAGGUUUGUAUAUAUUGGGACAAUGCUAAGUUUUGGUCUGUAUGAAUUAAAAUGGCUGCCAUUCCUCAGUGGUUAAUACCAAACUUUUGUCAAACCUCUUGAAUUAAAGGUGAAAGUCUUCACUUUGGUCACAUCUUGAAUGUUUCUUUUCAAAUACAGUGUGGUGGUUAUACAAAUGCUAAAAACCUUCCAUUGUCCCAAUACAUACAAACUUGACUAUAUACUUUUACAAUGGUAAUUUUCCCCCUCAGUUCAAUUUUUAAGAAGGAACACUGUAUAGAAUAGGUAGUCAGAAGAUUUAAGUGCUGUCCCAUUAUUGCAUGAAGGAUAAUCCACAGCAUGUAUCUACAGCACAGUGUCAAACAUUGCGUCACGCGAUGUAUCAUGACGUAUUGCGACUUUUUUGCCUUUGCGGAACCAGGGCGGGCAUGGCCUGCAUGUGACACAUCUCACCCACGGGCUGCUAGUUUGACACCACUGAUCCACAGCAUUAAGAAGAAUCUAGUGUAAUCAUUACAGGAAGAAGGAAUUAAAUAUUCCUGAUCUCAGUGCUAGUUGCUGUGUGUAUCACGAAUGCUAUGUGCCUAAUUUUUAAAAUCUUUACAUAAAACCUCUAUAACUUGGCAUAGAGGUUAUAGGUUGGGCAUGGGGGCUGUAUCAUUGAUUAUGCAUGCUUCUUUACUUGUAAAAGAAGUAAUAAAUAAAACAUUGUGGUAUAGUGAUUAAGGUGUGGAUUAGAAGUUGGAAGACCAGGGUUCUUGAGAUAGUGUUGAAAAAUAGGUUUGUACUUUUAGAUUUAAGCACAUAUCUCAUAAAAAUAUUAACAUUAAUUUGUAUUAAUAAUGAUAUGUUGCUUAGCAACUUUUAAACUCCACAGUACAUCAGCUUUGCUUCAGAAAUUUGACUAAUAUUUGAUUGUCUUCAUUUCUUAAACAUUUGAUAACAUACAUUUUCUUUUUUGUUACUUUCCUAUUGCAAUACCUUAUGGAAGAGCCAACUGGACACAAUUUAUAAGGUUAACUUUCAAUAAGUUAGCAGUUUUAAAGAUAAAAAUAUCUUAGUGAAAAGACUUGUUCAGUAAGAAGUAUAUGCAUUACACAAAAACAUUUUUUAAGUCAAGUCCCUGGUGUCUUUGAAUAUGCAUGUAGGUAUAUGUAUGCAACAAAGAGCCCAUGGGAUUUCUUACUACUCUAUUCUCCUGGUAAACUUCCAACAAAUCAACUUUAUUACAAAUUAUUUUAUGCUACUUCAGUCAUCUGACUGACUUAUAGAACAACAUACUAUGUAUAACAAUAAUUGAAUAGUUUAUCCACAUUAUAAAAUUAUAAUAAAUACUUUCAACAUAACUAAUAUCAUAAAAAUUAUACAACAUUAUAAUAUCAAAUUUAUUCCUCAGGUAUAUCUCCCAUUUUUGGCUGAGUUCUAAAAUACAUUUAAAGAGCCAAACUUUUAAAAACUUCAUGAACAUUAAAAGUGUUAUGUUCCAGAGACUAACUGUGGCAAAUAAAAAUCUGGAGACCUUGAACAUAUGGAAAUUGGGAAGGUUAGGUUCCAGAGCUCCAGAAAACAAGCAGAAAGGGGGAAAUCAUCUUACCUCCCAUUCUUUUUAUUGAGAAUAAAGACUAAAUAAAAGAACAAAUAAAUAUUUUUUUAAAUA